rnacentral:rRNA from 1 species
GGUUUGAUUAUGGCUCAGAUUGAACGCUGGUGAUGCUUUACACAUGCAAGUCGAACGGCAGCACGGACUUGUCUGGUGGCGAGUGGCGAACUGGUGAGUAAUGUAUCGGAACGUGCCUAGUAGCGGGGAUAAAUUAGCGCGAAAGCGUAGCCACGGUCGCUGUACGCCCUUCGGGGAAAGCGGGGGGACCUUCGGGCCUCGCAAUUAUUAGGAGCGGCCGAUAUCGGAUUAGCUAGUUGGUGGGUAACGGCUCACCAAGGCGACGAUCCGUAGCUGGUUUGAGAGGACGACCAGCCACACUGGGACUGAGACACGGCCCAGACUCCUACGGGAGGCAGCAGUGGGAAUUUUUGGACAAUGGGGGAAACCCUGAUCCAGCCAUCCCGCGCGAUGGAAGGCCUCGGGUUGGAAAACUUUUGGCAGGAAAGAAAAACGCACGGGAUAAUACCCUGUGCAACUGAUUGUACCUGCAGAAUAAGCACCCGGCCAACUACGCCAGCAGCCGCGGUAAUACGUAGGUGCAAGCGUUAAUCGGAAUUACUGGCGUAAGCGUGCGCAGGCGGUCUGGAAAGAAAGAUGCGAAAUCCCAGAGCUUAACUUGAACCGGUAUUUUGGGACCACCGAGCUGGAGUGUGUCAGAGGGAGGGAAUCGGCGUGUAGCAGUGAAAUGCGUAGAUAUGCGGAGGAACACCGAUGGCGAAGGCAGCCUCCUGGGAUAACACUGACGCUCAUGCACGAAAGCGUGGGGAGCAAACAGGAUUAGAUACCCUGGUAGUCCACGCCCCAGAACGAUGUCAACUAGCUGUUGGGGCCUUCGGGCCUGGUAGCGCAGCUUAACGCGUGAAGGAUCACCGCCUGGGGAGUACGGUCGCAAAGAUUAAAAACUCAAAUGAAUUGACGGGGACCCGCACAAGCGGUGAUGAUGUGAUUAAUCUGAUGCAACGCGAAAAAACCUUACUCACUCUGACAUGUCUGGAAUCCCGAAGAGAUUUGGGAGUGCUCGCAAGAGAACCGAACACAGGUGCGCGUAUGGCUGCCGCUCAGCUUUCCGUGUCGUGAGAUGUUGGGUUAAGUCCCGCAACGAGCGCAACCCUUUAGUCAUUAGUUGCUACGAAAUGGGCACGCAUCGAGACUGGUGACAAACCGGAGGAAGGUGGGGAUGACGUCAAGUCCUCAUGGCCCUUAUGGGUAGGGCUUCACAUCAUUACAAUGGUCGGGACAGAGGCCGCCAACCCGCGAGGGGGAGCUAAUCCCAAACCCGAUCAGAAACUGGAUCGCAGUCUGCAACUCGACUGCGUAGUCGGAAUCGCUAGUAAUCGCGGAUCAGCAUGUCGCGGUGAAUACGUUCCCGGGUCUUGUACACACCGCCCGUCACACCAUGGGAGUGGUUUUACCUAGAAGUAGUUACUCAACCGUGGUGAGGCAUAUUAUGGUAGAUCACAUGACUGGGGUGAAGUCGUAACAAGGCAG